rnacentral:rRNA from 1 species
GUCCUUUUGAGWAUAAUUUAAGGUCUGACCUGCCCAAUGAAUAAUUAAAUGGCCGCAGUAUUUUGACUGUGCAAAGGUAGCAUAAUCAUUAGUUUUUUAAUUAAAAGCUGGAAUGAAUGGUUUGAUAAAAGAAAAUCUGUCUUAAUUUAAAUUUUUUAGAAUUUUAUUUUUAAGUUAAAAAGCUUAAAUAUAGUUAAAAGACGAGAAGACCCUAUAGAGUUUAAUAUACGGUUAUUUUUUAAAAUUAAAGAAUUCAAUUUUUAAAAUUAAAUUGUAUAUUUAAUUGGGGUGAUUGUAAAAUUAAAAUAACUUUUAUUUUAUUAAAACAUUAAUUUAUGAAUAAUUGAUCCUAAAAUUUAGAUUAUAAGAAAAAAUUACCUUAGGGAUAACAGCGUAAUAUUUUUUUAGAGUUCUUAUCGAAAAAAAAGAUUGCGACCUCGAUGUUGGAUUAAAAUUAAUAUUUGGUGUAGAAGCUAAAAUAUUAGGUCUGUUCGACCUUUAAAAUUUUACA